AUAAAAACCAGGACCUUGUGGGCGGCGCCCUCACAAACACUAUGCUGCAUGGUGGGUUAGAACAAAGGAACACGUGGACGUUCUCUGCAACUAUCAAGUCAGACCGACUGAAUCAGACGGCGAUUGAGAUCAUUAGAUCUGCUGAUUUAACGAGCUCCCAGCACCCCGUGCAGCUGCGGCAGUGAAGGAAAUGACAGACUUGAGGGUGAGAGCUAGAAGCAGACUGGUUUACAAAGCACCAGGAAUACCUCCUCUUCUAAAACACAUGGUCCAAGAAAAUGAGAGAUGAUUUCUCAAGUGGUAAACAAAGCACGGUAAUACCUGGUGGAGAUGUUUCCAUCCAGCCACUCAUCCAUUACUGUGUUGAUUUCAUAACCCUUACAGGCAAAGUCAAAACUCACAGGAAGAUUA